CAGUCGCCGCGGUAAUACAUAGGGUGCGAGCGUUAAUCGGAUUUACUGGGCGUAAAGCGUGCGUAGGCGGCUAAUUGAGUCGGAUGUGAAAUCCCCGAGCUUAACUUGGGAAUUGCAUUCGAUACUGGUUAGCUAGAGUGUGGGAGAGGAUGGUAGAAUUCCAGGUGUAGCGGUGAAAUGCGUAGAGAUCUGGAGGAAUACCGAUGGCGAAGGCAGCCAUCUGGCCUAACACUGACGCUGAGGUACGAAAGCAUGGGGAGCAAACAGGAUUAGAUACCCCCGUAGUCCCUGUCUCUUAUAC
rnacentral:rRNA from 1 species